rnacentral:rRNA from 1 species
GAUGAACGCUGGCGGCGUGCCUAAUACAUGCAAGUCGAGCGAACAGGCGAGGAGCUUGCUCCUCUGACGUUAGCGGCGGACGGGUGAGUAACACGUGGAUAACCUACCUAUAAGACUGGGAUAACUUCGGGAAACCGGAGCUAAUACCGGAUAAUAUAUUGAACCGCAUGGUUCAAUAGCGAAAGACGGUUUUGCUGUCACUUAUAGAUGGAUCCGCGCCGCAUUAGCUAGUUGGUAAGGUAACGGCUUACCAAGGCAACGAUGCGUAGCCGACCUGAGAGGGUGAUCGGCCACACUGGAACUGAGACACGGUCCAGACUCCUACGGGAGGCAGCAGUAGGGAAUCUUCCGCAAUGGGCGAAAGCCUGACGGAGCAACGCCGCGUGAGUGAUGAAGGUCUUCGGAUCGUAAAACUCUGUUAUUAGGGAAGAACAAAUGUGUAAGUAACUAUGCACGUCUUGACGGUACCUAAUCAGAAAGCCACGGCUAACUACGUG